rnacentral:rRNA from 1 species
UACAGAGGUCCCAAGCGUUGUUCGGAUUCAUUGGGCGUAAAGGGUGCGUAGGCGGCGCGGUAAGUCGGGUGUGAAAUCUCGGAGCUUAACUCCGAAACUGCAUUCGAUACUGCCGUGCUUGAGGACUGGAGAGGAGACUGGAAUUUACGGUGUAGCGGUGAAAUGCGUAGAUAUCGUAAGGAAGACCAGUGGCGAAGGCGGGUCUCUGGACAGUUCCUGACGCUAAGGCACGAAGGUCAGGGGAGCAAACGGG